rnacentral:rRNA from 1 species
GAUGAACGCUGGCGGCGUGCCUAAUACAUGCAAGUCGAGCGAACGGACGAGAAGCUUGCUUCUCUGAUGUUAGCGGCGGACGGGUGAGUAACACGUGGAUAACCUACCUAUAAGACUGGGAUAACUUCGGGAAACCGGAGCUAAUACCGGAUGAUAUUUUGAACCCAUGGUUCAAAAGUGAAAGACGGUCUUGCUGUCACUUAUAGAUGGAUCCGCGCUGCAUUAGCUAGUUGGUAAGGUAACGGCUUACCAAGGCAACGAUGCAUAGCCGACCUGAGAGGGUGAUCGGCCACACUGGAACUGAGACACGGUCCAGACUCCUACGGGAGGCAGCAGUAGGGAAUCUUCCGCAAUGGGCGAAAGCCUGACGGAGCAACGCCGCGUGAGUGAUGAAGGUCUUCGGAUCGUAAAACUCUGUUAUUAGGGAAGAACAUAUGUGUAAGUAACUGUGCACAUCUUGACGGUACCUAAUCAGAAAGCCACGGCUAACUACGUG